rnacentral:rRNA from 1 species
CUACGGGACGCUGCAGUGGGGAAUAUUGGGCAAUGGGCGCAAGCCUGACCCAGCAACGCCGCGUGAGGGAAGAAGGUUUUCGGAUUGUAAACCUCUGUCCUUGGGGACGAAGAAGUGACGGUACCCAAGGAGGAAGCUCCGGCUAACUACGUGCCAGCAGCCGCGGUAAGACGUAGGGAGCAAGCGUUGUCCGGAAUUACUGGGCGUAAAGGGUGCGUAGGCGGCAUAUUAAGUCAGGUGUGAAAUACUCGGGCUCAACCCGGGGGCUGCAUUUGAAACUGAUAUGCUUGAGUGUGAGAGAGGAAAGUGGAAUUCCUAGUGUAGCGGUGGAAUGCGUAGAUAUUAGGAGGAACACCAGUGGCGAAGGCGACUUUCUGGCUCAUAACUGACGCUGAGGCACGAAAGCGUGGGGGGCAAACAGGAUUAGAUACCCGAGUAGUC